UAGAGACUCAGAGCUGCAUAUCAAUAAGCGGAGGAAAAGAAACUAACAAGGAUUCCCUAGUAACGGCGAGUGAAGCGGGAAGAGCUCAAAUUUGAAAUCUUCAAGGGUUUCCCUUGACGAAUUGUAGUUUAAAGAAGUGUUUUCUGUUAGAGAGGUGGUAAAAGUUCUUUGGAAUAGGACAUCAUAGAGGGUGAGAAUCCCGUAUUUGAUCACUUUCUACUAACGUUGUGAUACACUUUCAAAGAGUCGGAUUGUUUGGGAAUGCAGUCCAAAAUGGGUGGUAAAUUUCAUCUAAAGCUAAAUAUUGGCGAGAGACCGAUAGCGAACAAGUACCGUGAGGGAAAGAUGAAAAGAACUUUGAAAAGAGAGUUAAACAGUACGUGAAAUUGUCAAAAGGGAAGCGUUUGACACCAGUGUUGUUUUUCCGAAAAUCAAUUAUGAAUGGCUUGAUUUUAAGUUUCAUGACCUUAAAAGCUUGUUCCUUAUUUUUCAUGUCUUUCGUAAUGCACUUUCCGGUUAACAAGUCAACAUCAAUUUCUUUUGUUGUAAAAGGUUAAGAGGAAGGUGGCUUUACUUUCGGGUAAAGUGUUUAUAGCCUUUUAACUCUGCAAUCGGAGAGAUUGAGGUCUGCAGCGUAGAUCCUUCGGGGUUAGAUACGUUUGUGCUAAGUUAUAGCUUUUCAUAGACAACUUGUUGACUAUGUUAAGUCUUGUAAUUUACUCGCAGAUGCUAUUUUACCUACGCUUAGGAUGUUGAAGAUAUGCGCGACACG
rnacentral:rRNA from 1 species